UGGCUUGAUUUCUUGGUGGGUAGAUUUAGACUCUUCAUCUUCCCUCAGACAAGCCUGAAGCAGAGGCUCUGGGCUUCAUCCCACAUUAGAGACCUGCUCUAGACAGGAACCUCACGCAGGGCGGUCCUUGCCUCACAUUA